rnacentral:rRNA from 1 species
GAUGAACGCUGGCUACAGGCUUAACACAUGCAAGUCGAGGGGAAACGCCGGGGAAGCUUGCUUCCCCGGGCGUCGACCGGCGCACGGGUGAGUAACGCGUAUCCAACCUGCCUCUGACUGAGGGAUAACCCGUCGAAAGUCGGCCUAAUACCUCAUGGCAUCGUCUGCGGGCAUCCAACGACGAUUAAAGAUUUCAUCGGUCAGGGAUGGGGAUGCGUCUGAUUAGCUUGUUGGCGGGGUAACGGCCCACCAAGGCUACGAUCAGUAGGGGUUCUGAGAGGAAGGUCCCCCACAUUGGAACUGAGACACGGUCCAAACUCCUACGGGAGGCAGCAGUGAGGAAUAUUGGUCAAUGGGCGGGAGCCUGAACCAGCCAAGUAGCGUGCAGGAGGACGGCCCUAUGGGUUGUAAACUGCUUUGAUGCGGGGAUAAAGUGAGGGACGUGUCCUUCAUUGCAGGUACCGCAUGAAUAAGGACCGGCUAAUUCCG